AUCGAUCGCGGAAGAAGGCAAGGUUGGGAAGAGGAUGGCAGCUAGGAUUGUUUCGAUAGCUAAAAGGGUUUCUAGGUCUCAGCCAUCCCUACUGCAGCACUACGGAUCUCAAGACUUUCUCUGCAACCGCUCAUCCCCGCUGACUCGUCCACCAAACUCACGAGUCCAAUCUGUAUUCGACGCAACAGUUACAAGGAAAUUGCAGCACUACGGAUCUCAAGACUUUCUUCUUCGACCGCUCAUCCUUUUCUAAUCCGCUGAAUCGGCCACCACACUCACGAGUCAAUUCUGUAUCCCAACGCAACAGAUAAAAAGGAAUUGGAGGAUUUUUUGGCAAAGUUGGACCUUACCAUGGAGGAAGUUAAGAAAGCAAAUGCCCAAGUGCUGGAGUUGGAACCUCUGGUAGAGGAAUUCCGUGUUGUGGCAGCCAAAUUUAUUGAGGAUGCUUAUUCGAAAAAAUUAAGAUAUCAAGUCCUUUAUGAACGCCGUAAUGUAACCCGUAGCUGUGUGGCAGUUGGUGCCGUUGUCAUGCUGUUAAUUGGACGCUACUUCUAGGGGUUGCAGCUGGAAAGUGAAGCAAACUGCUUUAUAUUAUCUCCUAAUCAACUUUGAAUGGAUUCCUUGUUAUGUUUCUAUGCAUCAUUCCAUGUCGUUGAAUGUAAUUAUGGGAGGGUUUGGUGUUGGUGUUUGGAUUCCAAUGGCAACUAACUUAGGAUUUACUAUUUUACCAAGUAUAUGGAUAAUGGAUGGUCUAUGCAUUUUCUUUGGAUCUAUUAUGGAAAAGAGGACA